rnacentral:lncRNA from 1 species
GCAUGUAAGCAUCUCUGCAGUUGCUGUCCCCAGAGCCCACUUCCUGGAUAUUGCCAGCUGCCUGGACCAACCUUUCCGAAAGAUCAGCCAGGUCACAGUGAGGGUCAAAGGCUGCGUGCUGAGGCUCCAUCGCUGUGCUGGGUGAGGGGUGGAGGACUGUCCAGCUGACAGCCACCCAGGAGGCCUGCCCAGGAGACCCAGCCCAGCCUCUCCUUGGAACCUGAAGAACUCCAGGCAGCUGAUGGGACACUGGGGCCCAGGGUGGGCUGCACCCACUGUCCAACCAGUCCCAAUGAGAUGAACCAGGACAUUGGCAAGCACGUUGAUAGAGUGCCCACAUUGUACUGAACUCUGAGGGGAAUAGUCUCGUCCCCAUCACUCAGGUGGGGAAACUGAGGAGGAGGCCACUGGAGGCUCCAAGGGCUCUGAAAUGUUGAGAACUUCCCUGCAGGUACCAGCGAAGAGGGCAAGAACACAGCACUACUUCCUUGGAUACUGUUUCCCUCCUCAGAGGGGUUUUCUGAGCUGCCCUGGGUCCUGUGAGGAAGGUCUCCCCUUCCUGUAAAGACACCAGUCCUACUGGAUCAGGGCCCACCCGUGUGACUUCACUUUUACUUGAGUACCUCUCACAGACCCUAACUCCAAAUCAGGUCACUUGCUGAGGUACUGCAUGUGAAGACUUUGACAUUUGAAUUUUGAGGGGGCCACCGUUUAACCUGAACCACCAAGGACAGAGCCAAAGACCCUGGGUGACAGGCCCAGAACAGGACCUGGUGGAGGCUCUUCUUUAGGGGAGAGAGGGAAAUGGGAGCCACCACUGGCAGAGCCUGAAGGCAGGGCAGCCAGAAAGAAGCUGUGGGAGUCCCCACCAUGGAAGACCCUGCCGAGCAUCCUGUGUCUCCUGAAGCAGACCCUGACAUGAGGACUGGGGGCACGUGUUUAUUAAGGGCGAUCCCCGGAAGGAGGAGAUAACCAGGGACCAGCUUCAGCCCUUCUUGCUCUCCAUGGCAGAAGUCCUAGCAGAGUAUGCCCACGCUGGUUAGUGCUGCUGCAAAGAUGAGCCGAAGACCAUGAGAGACCUCCAGGUGGUCCUUCUGGGGAGAAGAAAUGGGUUUUGGCCCCAAAUCCUUCUGCUGCAUUUUUCCCCUAUCCCUGGGAAGCCAUGAGACCUCAAACCUGUGUUCCCAAGGAGGCGAGCUGCUGUUCCCAGGUGAUGAUAUGAUGUGCUUGGGGAAAGUAAGUGGCUGCCAGACAUGGCUGAGAGCUGUUGUCACUGCCGUCAAGUGCAUGUCUCCAAGCCAUAUCACACGGCGUCCCUCGAUGUGAGGCCACAUGGCAAGUGGGCCGUGGAUCUCCCUCUGCCCUUUGCAAGCACGUAAGACAGCAGAUUUUGCAGAUACCUUGUGGCGCAGGGGAAUUUCCUUUGGCCAGGUCUGAAGAAAUAAAGCAGCAGGCACCGAGAACAAAGCCAAGGCUUUCAAAAGACAAGGAGCCAAAAAACUUACUCAAAAUAAAAGUAGUUUUAAAAUGUCU